ACUGAAAUAGCUCAGUUGGUAGAGCGUCAGACUACAAAUCGAAAAGUCCUUGGUUCGAUCCCCCUUCCGGCA
rnacentral:tRNA from 1 species